GCACAUAAUGUAAUAUUAUCAGUUUUAUGUUGUUUGGCCACCAGUGAUAAGUCAAGUAAUUGGUGCAUCGUGUCUUUCAGCAGAGCAAGAAGAAAGGUUUUUCUCUGUUUCACACCACUAACGACAGACAGCAAACAUCUCUCUCAUUAACAUGACUGGCAUCACUGUCUGAACAUCAAACUACGGUGAGAAGUUCAUCACUUAAAAGUUUGUCUUGUGCAUAUCCUGUUUCCUGUGGGUGUGAAGAAAGGCUGUUGUGACUGCGUGACAUCCAUCCACAUGUAUGUAGGUUUGUUUUCCAGGCAGUAAACGCUCAUUAGUGGGGAAAGAGGUCCACAGAGCUCUUUCAAUCAGUCGGCCAGAUGUUUGCUGCUCUCUUUAGACCGAGAAACCCAACCCACACAACCAUGCUCACAGGUACAACAGCACAGAUCGAUUUCAGCUCAAAUGCAUUUGAAAAAACUUCAAAGUCACAAAACAAGGGAGAAUUCUAAAGAGAAGAUGCUCUAAAGAUUCUAAAAAAUGAAGGUUCCAAUUAGAACCCAAAAAGAUUGUACUGUUUGACUAGAACCUUUUUAAUUUUCUAGUUCUCUAGCAGGUUUCUGUGCUGGUGCUCUGAAAGCACUGGUAGAAAGUCUUGAUCGUGCAUUAGUUGCUCAGAUAGAAAUCUGAUCCAGGAUUGGCAUCGAGAGCUUCUCUGCGGUUUGGAGCUGCUCUCAUUGUGGUGCGGUGACAGAUCAGUUGAGUUUGAGUGUUGUGAAACUGCCUCUAUAAUGGUUGAUGGAUCUGCUUUGAAUGAGCAGUUCUGGAACAGUUUGGUUUCUUUUUAUGAGAGCACAUUCACUAGAUCUGAUUAGAAAUUUUCUAAUCUCUUUCAUAUCUCAAGAGACUUAGAGUUCUCAGAUCUGCUGCUUUUUAAAUUUCAUCUGUGUUUUAAAUUGCUUUGGAAGAGAUAAAAAUAGACAGAAAUGAGAAAAGUGUUGACAUACAAACAGAGAAAAGAGUUUGGAAUAGAAAUAAUAACAAAUAAAAAAAUGUGCAUGG